AUGGCACAGCAAGGUGAGUUUCUGAUUGGACUCCUCAAUGAACUAGCCUGUUGGGCUUUGGCACCUGGAGCAGAGUCAUUCUUCAGGUCCCUUCUGUUAGGAAGGAUUUGGAUGCGCUCCUUGUUUGAGUGCUCCAAAUAUGAAAACCAAGCAGAUAGCUGUACCUUUGAACUUCCUCUUACUUGGAGGACUUUCAGUGUUUCUUCUAUCUGCAGGAAUGUCCUCAGGAGGCUUGGAGCCUUCAUGCUGGUCAAUCUUCCCAAGAAGAAAGCUGCAACCGAAACAGUAGCCAGCUGA
rnacentral:lncRNA from 1 species